UGGACAGAGAGGGUAGGGGAGAAAACGGGAGAGAGACAAAACAAACAAAUAAAUGGACAACAUUAGCAGACAAUCCAACAUGCGCACGAAACUUUCACCGUCCUGUCUGUGCAGGAAAUCCACCUAAUCGAGCCACUAUCUGUGCUUUGGCCAAAACACUCCAAAUGUGCCAAACAGUACAAAUACAAUCAAAAACAGUGAGAAAUGGAUCAAACCGGACACACUCACAUCCCAUGGCAGGAUUUUUAGCUGCGGCUGGCAUUACAUUGGUCAUUCCACAGAGAGGCUUUCCCAUCGCACUAUACCUAUGAGCCAUACGGAUCCACGAUUCUGUUUAAUACCACUGCUAAGCUUUGCCAUAUCAAACUCAGUUACUAACUGUAAGCUCAUUCAGAUUGUCACAUGACUCUUUAGUCGGCCUCCCCCAACUCUGAUCAGUUCAACGAAAGCUACGGCUCUUUAGACUGACAGCAAGAUUGAUAUUCAUGUAUUUUAAUACACUACCAGUCAAAAGUUUGGAAUAAUUAAGAUUAUGAUUUCUGAAGGAUCAUGUGACACUGAAGACUGCAGUAAUGAUGCUGAAAAUUCAGCUUUGAUCACAGAAAUAAAUUACAGUUUACAAUAUAUUCACAUAGAAAACAGCUGUUUUAAAUUGUAAUAAUAUUUCACUGUUUUUACUAUAUUUUCGAUCAAAUAAAUGCAGCCUUGGUGCGCAGAAGAGACUUCUUUCAAAAACAUUAAAAAACCUUACCAACCCUAAACUUUUGAACGGUAGAGUAUAUUUUAUAUACAUGAAAAGAAUAUAUCCCUGUAAUUCCUAUGUCUGAAAUUUCCAUAUUCUGCAGAAACACAAAGAUUAAUUAUGACUAUAAAAAUAAACUCUUACAGAAAGCAUGUCAUCGUCCGUGCAUGUGUGUGUGUGUUUGAGUAGGAGUAUUAUGAGGAGCUUCUGCGACUGAAGAGUGCAGACUAGCAUGUGUUCCCAACGGCUGAUGACUAAUCAAAAGAAGUGGAUGGAUGAAUAUACUCUGAGUACUGAGAAGGGUUUUUAACUCUUUCCCUGCCAUUGAUGGAAUUUCAGGCAAUCCAUGUUUUCACUGUUAUAUGGUAGGGGGCGCUAUUACGCACCUUCUGAAAGUGUACAGAAUCUCUGGAUCAAAACACAGGCGAAGAAGAAGCAGAAACAAGCGAUAGAAACAUUGCUGACGCACAAAAAUGACACGAUAAUCCAAGAUUAAACAGCAUAUAAAUCAAAGCUGCCUAACAUUACUGAAUGAAAUGUUGAAAUGUUGGUUGCGAAUCAGACUGCAGUCAGUGCAAAGGUCAGCUGGUCAAUAAUUCUGACUUAUUAUUAGACUAAGUGAGCAUGUUCGAAUCAUUAAAAUUUAAUCAUUGAAAUAAUUACCUUACCUCCACAUUUUUCAGAAUCUCCUAGAGUUUUUGAUAAAUAUUAGUGGUCAGUCAAGGCAUCACUAUUUACACCCGGUAUUACAGCCACCAUGAAAUCAAAAAAUGAUUUAAUAAUUAAUUCACAUUAGGACUUUUCACACUUGAAAUAGUUAACCCCGAGUCAUUCUAAACACCGGGUAAACAGAAUCCUGGGUUAUCUUUAUUCAUGUUUCACACUGGUCAUAAUUAACCCGGGGUUAACAAUUAAUCCUGGUUAUUCAUAAGCUGAAGUUUCACAUUGUACAUUCCUAAACCCUGGGUUAAUGUUCUUAUUUGCAUGUUUGUGGUGUCAGUGUCAUUGAUUGGAGGAACGCAGGAUGUGACCUGUUUACAUAAAAUCCUCAUAUUAAUAUUGCCGACUUUACUAUCGAGUUUAUACUGAAUGGACUAUAAAGGCAAGAAUAAAAUGGUUUGUCAGCAUUUGACUCUUUUCCUCUCAAAUGCUGAAUUUCCUGUUUAUAUACAAUGCGCAGUGUUUCCGUGACUGUCCAAAUCACGCAAAUAUGAGGCACGUGAUUGGUUGCCUGUUGCUAAGUGUCUAGAUGUAACAUUCUAACACUGCAUCGUUUUACACUGUACAAGUCUGGCACCGUAAUGCGGGGUUAACACCACAAAAAUGGGUCUAAUCCGGAGCAGGUUUUCAUAACCCCUGGGUAAAAAGCGCUGCUAACCCCGCUUCUAAAUUACAAGUGUGAAACGUUCCUUUACCCGGGGUUAAAAGCGGUGUUUAUAACGAUGAUAACUCAGGGUUAAGCGCAGUGUGAAAAGCCCUAUUGUGUUAAAUUCAUGUGCCUCGUGAGAUGCCAGGUACAUCCAAGAUAUUAUGUCUAGUCUGAAAGUCUUGUGCAUGUCUUAAAUUUAUUAAUUUGAUUGCUUCUUUCUUUUAGCGCUCACCAUUUCUGAUUGGAUCACCACAGAUGGGUAUUAAUAUCAGAUGUAAGAUGAUCUUGCCUAUUUAAAUGAGUCAUUCUAGUUUAGCACACUUGUGUUUCCAGGCAACUAAAGGUAUAAUAACACGAUAUCUGUACACCUGUACUACUGUCACAUAAACCUAAAACUGGAUGAAGAAAAAGUGAUAACCCCUGAAAUUUGCCAGUUUUCUGUGUGCACAUCCGUUAACUCUGUGGUGAGAUGAGUAGCGAUGAUGAAUCACGAGAAUUAGCUCAAUUGUAAUUAAUGCAGUUACAGCCAGUGAGAUGAUUGUGAGAACUCUCUUAAAAGCGUGACGAUUGCAGGAGGUGAAACUAUCAAUCCAUUAGUAAAAUGACCUUCUCUGAGCUGCUGAUGUGGGAGAGCAAAUCUGCCCUCAGCUGUACAAACGUUUAUCCCGACACAGAUACUGAAUUCAAAAUUGAUGAGGGGGGAAAUGUAAAAAAAGCAAACAAGGCAUUAACAUUAAAAAUAUUAUAAACCAACACGUGUCGGCAGACAAACUGCCUUCAUCAGGGCAUAAAAGAAAAGACCAAAUCAAUCCAGCAUCAAGACACUCAAAACGUGCAGAACUGUUUAUACUAUAUUUUUAAUAGUCUUGUAUAUUAGUAUGUGGUCUGGUUAGUUUUUGUGUAUAUUUAAAAGUAUAAUAUUUAUGAGUGUAUCAUUGGUGUAUUUUUCAUAUAUAAGGUAUAAUAUUUAUAUUUAAGGUAUAACAUUCAUAUUUAUGACUGUAUUAUUGCUGCACUUUUUUAUAUUUAAGGUAUUGUCACUGUCAUGUUCUGUUUGGUUUAGUUUUCCCUGUCACUAAUUGCCUGAGUUCUUGUUCAUUGUUUGUUGUCAUGGUUUCUAAUUAGUUUCCCACCUGUGCCUUGUUCUGUUGAUUAUCAUUCCUGUGUAUAUAUAAGUCCUCAGUUCUCUUUGUUCUUUGUUUGGUGUUGUCAACAUUAAUGUAUAGUGUACUAAGACUUUCUCUGUGUUCAUUAAAGUCUCCCUGUUUCUAUUGAUCAUUCUGCAUUAUGCUUCGUUCUUGGAUUUAUACUACACAGCGUUACGUGACAGAACACUGAACCCAAAACAUGGAUACAGCAGCACCAUUUAUUGCCAUUGGCCGUAAAGGUCUUCUUUUGAUGGAUUACUCUGUCCGGUUCUGUGAGUUAGCCCAGCGCUCCUAUCUAGAUGGUGUCACCUUAAAAUCUAUUUUUCAGGAUGGGAACAAAUUAAUGUGGCCCACUGGCACUGCCAGUUUUGGAGAAUUUUACUUAGUAAGAAGCCAUUCUCCGUUGCUUUGAAUGUUUCUACCCUUUGUCAAUGACUUUGCCCACAAACCCCACUGACCCAGAACCAGAACCCAGCCAAAACCUCCACACGCCCACCACGAAUCCAGAGCCAGUGCCUAAGCCCACUAAGGACCCAAUACCAGAGCCCACCGCAGACCCAGAGCCAACUCCAGCUGAGUCUAACCAGUGAGCUGGUGUCCACCCAGCUCAAGUCUGAGCCAUUAUUCGUCCCAGAGCCAGAACCUGCACUCUCUAUGUGCAUGGACAGCGAACCAGAGCCCACCGUGUGUGAGCUGGUAUUUAUGUCCAUCCCUGAGGGAGUGUUGGUAGGGGUGGACCUUGUGGAGCAGAGUUCCAUCCAUUCCCCUUAAAUAUAUUCUCUAUCAUGUGUACUCCUGGAUACCUUCAGCACCUUGGCUCCUCCUUCAGUGGCUCUGCCCAACUGCUUGGAUCUGCCUUGAGCUUCCAGGUCUCCAGCUCUGCCGUAGUGUGUCAAUCCCUUGGCUCCGCCAUGGGCCUCCGAGCACUGGACUCCACCUCGGCCCUCCAACCCAUUGGCUCCACCUCAGCCCUCCAACCCAUCGGCUCCACCUCAGCCCUCCAACCCAUCGGUUCCACCUUGGCUCCACGCUCCCUCAGCUUCACCAUAGUCCGUCAUCCCUCCGGCUCACCUUUGAUCAAUCUUCGCUCUGGCUCUGCUUCAGACGUCUGGACUUCCAGAUGCGCUUCAACCCUCAAUCCCCAUGGUUCCGCUUUCCCUCUGGUUUCGCCAUUGUCAUCAGUUCCACCAUCUCCGCCCAGGUCACGCACACCUGCGUCUUCGCCUUGGCCCGCCAGGCAUAGAGUCAACCUGGGUCCUCUCCUCCACCUCUGUUUGUCUCUGAGGUUCCGUCAUGGGCCUUCAUCCUGGCUCUUCUCUGGCUCCUCCCUUCAUCGUCUCCUUCCUGGUUCUUUCCUUAAUCGUCUUCUCCGUGGGGUUUCCCUCUGCCAGCUCCUCCAAGGUUUUAUCUGUCUACAGCACCUCGUCCAUCUCCGGUACCCCCUUCUUCCAUGCUCUGUUGGACCUAUUGCGGCUCGAGUAUGCACCUUUCGGGAGGGGGAUGUACUGUCAACGGUCAUGGUUUUGUUUUCCCCAUCUCCAAUUUUGGUAUUUAUAAGGUAUAAUAUUUAUAUUUAUGGGUGUAUUAUUGGUGCAAUUUUUAGGUGACCUGUCAUCAACUUUUGCAACCCCACCUUUUGAAAAUAAUUUGUUGCCAAAGUACUUUUUUACUUAAUCCUCUUCGUCCCAUGUGAGACAUAAGACUGCCAAAGUAACUUUCUUAACUAAGUCACUUUUUUUUUUUUUUUUUUUUUACAGAUAAUGAUUUGUUUGUUCUUUAAAAAUAAAUAAAUAAAUUUACAAAUAAUUACAUUUCUCAUGAACAUUGUAGUUCCACGAACCCUUUGUUUUGCUCAAAGUUGAUACUUCAUACUUGAGCUUUGAUAACUCCAUUUCACCAUACAAAGCCUGCAGAAGGCUUUGCCUAUUUUACGGGUAUCAUCUGGAUGGACGUAUAAAUAAACUCUAAUUGCGGUUUAAAUGCUGGAAUGUGCUGCUCGUGGAUCUUCUCUUAUGUACGACAGCUUGUUGUUGCCAGUUUCAGAUCCAUCAAAGUUACUCUCCACGCCAACAGCCAAAACCUGACAUCACCAUAUCAAUGACUGCAGAGCAUGAGCUGGGCAAGACCUGAAGUGGUCAUAUUUUUAGUCAUGAGGUCAUAAGAACCCCCCAUUAGCACCUUAAGGGAAACCCCCAGCAACAAGGGACUCCAGCAAACGGGCUCGGGUUUAUUUUGAGCGGAUCGGACAGUUUGGGAAGCUGAAGGCCACAUGCCAGUAUGAGACACAUUAUUCCACACAUGGUCUUGUAAGUGGGUCAUUUGCAUUAGCAAGCUGCCAGCUCUCAAAAAUUAACUCCUGAUCUAAACUAUCAUGCGUAUAUAUGUGUAAGAUAUUUGCUGAAGACGGUGCAUUUUUGUGAACACCAAAUGUACUAUAGCAGACUUUGUUAUAGUACUUGUGGAUUCUUUAAGAGCGAGUCAAUUGCAACCUGAUUACGGUAAAAUUACACUUCGAAAUCAAAAGGAAGGAAUAAGAAAUUAUAUUAAAUAUUUUGCAUGAAUGAUGAAGAAAAUGAAGCCUAUUCUAGGACCAUUACAAUGUUUUGCAGUGGGGCAUUAUGUUCAUGAAGAUCAACCCCUUAUGGCCCAUUAUUUCAUUUUCAUAUAUUGUAAAAUGUACAAAAAUUAGUAAAAAAAAAAAAAAAAAAAAUCAACAAAUUAUUAUUUUGAGUCAGAUAUUUGCAAUGAAUAGGUUGAUCCAGUUCAUAAAACCAGUCGUUUAAGAAACACACUUAUCUGGUUCUCUUUGGGACUCAAAGAUUCAAUUGCAGUGAAUCUCGAGUUCAGACAGCUGUGAAUAACCGCUUGAAUGUCAGUCUGUUCCUCGCACAAAUAUGUAAGUGUACGAGCCUUUGAUGACACUUUCCUGCUGCUUUUGAGUCCCCAUUCACUGUUAUUGAAUGGAGAAGAGUGACUAUAUUAGUAUAUUACUAGCUCAAAGGAUGAGGAUGAGUUGAUUAUGACAUUAUGGCAUUAUGAGUUUUUGGAAGAGCUAUUCCAUUGAUUGACAAAAUGUAUUUAAGAAUGUGACUUGGACAUGUUUUUUUUUUUGUUGUGAGAUUCAGCCAGAAUCUCUGCAGUUAUACAUUCAUAUAAAUAGGCGUGUAUUUGCUGAUGUAGUGAACAGCUGUCCUCUGUGUGUGUGUGUGUGUGUGUGUGUGUGUGUGUGUGUGUGUGUGUGUGGUUGAAUGUCAAGCUGCAUAUAUGCCAGAUUGGUGUUGCAAUCUGUUGCAGGUCAUUUAUCUAGGUUAACAUUAGAGCGAGCGGCCAAGUAAAGUUGCUACUACUUACAUAUUUCAAAUGAUAAGCCAUAUUUGAGGUUGAUGGAUGAUAGGCGAACAUUUAGAUUUUCUGCCCAACACACUGUGAUUACCACAAGGACCCACCGUUUUCCAUUUUUUUUAAAUUUAAAUUUAAUGUUUUGCCAUGAUUUCGAUUUUAAUAAAAUAUAACAAUUUUAAUAUUAGCAAACUUUACUAUUAGACAUGUUGACAAUACAGCAAUGAUAACAGUUAAGAGAAAAAAAAAUGAUCUGACUGCAUGACGGUGCACCUGAUUAAGUCUGUGUGUGCACCAAAGUGUUUUUAACCAUCUGAAAACUCUUCUGAAAACGCCUUGCUGUAGGCGCUUGAGAGCGUUUUUUUUCAGUUGAGACACUAUAUUUGUUAUGAUACAGAAUAUCUGCGGAACUGCUACUAGUAUCUGAUUUCGCAAAUAGUUUGUUUCUGAAUAUAAAAAUGUCAACACAAUGUAACAUACUUGCUCUGGCACUAGUUUUGGAUGAAAAGAUGUGCUUGUUGUAGUUUGUUAUCAUUGUACAAACAGGAAGCGGCGGUUGGUCGCUGUUGUUUUUGUCCCGCCCCUCCUCGACAGUGAUGAUUGCUGAGUUUUACCUAAAGUUGAACAUUCUUCAACUCUUGGCAACCGGUAAAAACCACCAAAUGCUCAGUGUGAAAUAGACGCUCAAUGCAAUGUUAUGCUUCUUCCGUUUUAAAAAAUGCAGAGCUCCCACUGGGAAAAAAAAAAAAUUGUAUGAAUACGCUAGCCACGGGAAAAAUCACUUUGGUGGACACAUGACCUACCGCUCUCAUGUGAAGCGAUGAAGGACUGAAAUGUAGAAAACAUUGCUAGUCCUAACUGGCUAAUCACCCAGAAUGCAUUUUUGUGUUGAAAAAAAAAUGAGACGCAGGCAGCGGAAUGGGAAAAAAAACGAGACGCGAGUUAAACUUCUUUUAACUUGUGCGCCAAAUUUUUAGAAUGCUUACAUUGUAAACAUUCUAAAACAUCGUAAAGAACCUGUAAAGAACUACUCCUGUAAGUUUGAUAUUUCAUGUUUGCGUGAUAAUGACAGGCUGAAAGUGCUGUUAUUUUCUGUUUUUACAAAACAUUUACUGUUAAUAAUAGUCUACUACUGGUGUUAUACUUGUAGACAUUUUGAAUUUGAAUUGCCUUGACUUUUCAGGUUGACCUCUAAAACGAAACGUCUGCUUUUUGGCUAAGGAAUAUUUAGCAUUUUAUAUUAUUUCUGAACAAGUAGGAUAUGUUUGAGAUAAGUUUGUAUAAUAUUUGCCUUAAUAUUUCAUGUAUCUUUCCUGCAAAGAUAUUUAACAAGUCAUUUGUUUUACAUUUACACCAUGUUGAUCACUUCAGGUGUGCUCUUGGAAUAGAACCUUCUUUGACCAGAUGGUUAAUAAAGACUUGUUACUUAUAUGGUUAAUAAAUAAUGUUACUUGAAUCAUGUUGUAGUUAAGUUUUUAAGUUGACUAGUUAAACAUUAACAAAUCAAUCAAACGUUCUGAAAAAUAUCAAUAUAUAUAUAUAUAUAUAUAUAUAUUUUUUGUCAUAUCGCCCAGCGCUACAUCACACCAGUUUGUUCUUCAAUUGUGCUUGUAGCGUAAGACCGAGAGCAUGUGCUGACGUUGGGUCGAGUCUCACAGCUCAUUAAAAACAGCACUGGAGGCCCACAGCGCUUCACACCACAACCUCCUCUGCACACACAGCUGAUUCCCAAUUCCUGCUCUUUCUGUCUUAUUUCUUUCACUGCUCCACUUUGUGAGAGAUCUGGGGCUUGAAUGGCAUGUGUCAUUUGCAUUAGAUAUCUUCAAUACGGCACACAAAUGGUUAAUCUUGGCAAAGAUUAACUAGCACACACAGGGACUGGAGCGUGUCAAAUUCCCUGACCUGCCGCAGACCGCCCUCCUCUCUCGGUUAGUUUUGCACGUGCUAAACAUUCGCGUACAUCAGAGGGAACAAAACUAAUUAAAACAAAAGUUUCAGAGCUAAAAAUAAGCCUCAGCAUCUCUGGAGACAAGCUUGAUUUGACAUCAUUUUCACUACUACCAAUUCAGAACAGCAAGCAUUUGCACUCUGUCACUCUGAAUGUGUGAUGUGUCGAUGUGUCUCUCGGCUUGAUGUUACGCAGCAGCGUGGGUUUGUGGAACGAACCAUCUGAUCUGCAGCGAGAGGAGCUGCUGAUCGCUGUAUAGACUAUCCUGAACCCCCACAGCAGCCGCUGCGCUGCCCACUCACAACAGAGACGCCAAUCUGCCAUGAGAGACACGCCACUGCUGGGGAGUUCCAGCUGGGAUGAGGGUGGACUAGGACUUUCCUGUUAAGAAAAGCUAUCCUUAUUUUUUUUGUUUUUCAUGCUUGAAUGUUGAUUAUUUUCCUCAUAUUCUCCAUUGUUGCAGCUCCUCUCUUCCCAGUCUGUCAGUAACGCUCAGUUUAGUUCCUGUCUCUAUGAAGCCCCUCCUUCUGAAAAGCACAGUGUGCUCUGAUUGGUCGGCUGGAGCAGUGUGUUGUGAUUGGUGUUUGGAAAAUGUCCCACCCCUUACCAUAACCGCCAGGUUCAACACACUACUAACUAACUCAACCAGGCCCCGCCCCUUUAUUCUGCGUAUGAAUUAUUUAAAUGAGGAAUAUUGUGAAGAAAACUCAAGACUACAAUGGAGGCGUUUCAGGGAGUUCAGAAACACUGACACUGAUAUAGAGAAGAACUCCUGCUGGAGGGACUUUGCAGAGCUUUUUCAUGAUCAAACAGAAACAUUACACACUGAAGACAGAUAACCAUGGACAUAAAGCAGACUGGGUCCUGUAUAAGGCACAGUAGCAGAUCCAGCUGCAAUAAGAUAACAUUUUAUUUUAUCUGCAUCUCAAUUCAAGCUCAGUGCUUUAAUGUCAAAUUUCCAAUGAAUAAACAUGUAAUAUUAUUAGUAACUGCACUUAUUAAUGCAAAACAAUAGUAUAUGAUUACAUUACCUUUCUGAUUAAAAAAAACAAAAAAAACAAAAAAAAA